AGCGAACGCUGGCGGCAGGCCUAACACAUGCAAGUCGAACGAUCCUUCGGGAUAGUGGCGGACGGGUGAGUAACACGUGGGAACGUGCCCUUUGGUUCGGAACAACUCAGGGAAACUUGAGCUAAUAACGAAUGUGCCCUUCGGGGGAAAGAUUUAUCGCCAUUGGAGCGGCCCGCGUCUGAUUAGCUAGUUGGUGAGGUAAUGGCUCACCAAGGCGACGAUCAGUAGCUGGUCUGAGAGGAUGAUCAGCCACACUGGGACUGAGACACGGCCCAGACUCCUACGGGAGGCAGCAGUGGGGAAUCUUGCGCAAUGGGCGAAAGCCUGACGCAGCCAUGCCGCGUGAAUGAUGAAGGUCUUAGGAUUGUAAAAUUCUUUCACCGGGGACGAUAAUGACGGUACCCGGAGAAGAAGCUCCGGCUAACUUCGUGCCAGCCGCCGCUGUAAAAC
rnacentral:rRNA from 1 species